rnacentral:rRNA from 1 species
UAAGGAAUAUUGGUCAAUGGGCGCAAGCCUGAACCAGCCAUGCCGCGUGAGGGAUGAAGGCCUCUGGGCUGUAAACCUCUUUUAUCAAGGAAGAAGAUCUGACGGUACUUGAUGAAUAAGCCACGGCUAAUUCCGUGCCAGCAGCCGCGGUAAUACGGGAGUGGCAAGCGUUAUCCGGAAUUAUUGGGCGUAAAGCGUCCGCAGGCGGCCUUUUAAGUCUGUCGUUAAAGCGUGGAGCUUAACUCCAUUUAAGCGAUGGAAACUGGAAGGCUAGAGUGUGGUAGGGGCAGAGGGAAUUCCCGGUGUAGCGGUGAAAUGCGUAGAUAUCGGGAAGAACACCAGUGGCGAAGGCGCUCUGCUGGGCCAUAACUGACGCUCAUGGACGAAAGCCAGGGGAGCG